UACGAGCUGUGCGAACGUUAUUCGGAAUCACUGGGCUUAAAGGGUGCGUAGGCGGUUUUCUAAGUCAGGUGUGAAAUCUUCCGGCUCAACCGGAAAACUGCGCCUGAGACUGGAUAACUUGAGUGAGGUAGGGGUGUGUGGAACUUCCGGUGGAGCGGUGAAAUGUGUAGAGAUCGGAAGGAACGCCAGCAGCGAAAGCGGCACACUGGGCCUUUUCUGACGCUGAGGCACGAAAGCUAGGGGAGUGAACGGG
rnacentral:rRNA from 1 species